GAGAGAGAGAGAGAAAAUGGGGAUCACAAAAAGCCAUUGGACACAAUAAAUCAGAUUUCUUAAGUAGGGGAAAUUCCGGGCAGUAGAUGCUGGUUUCAAAUUCGUGUGUGUGUGUGUGUGUGUGUGUGUGUGUGUGUUGUUGUUGGUGGUCUUCCACAAACUUGUCCCUGGACUUUUAAUUUUACAGGCUCUAGCAAGCAUUGCUAGAGGAUAGGGAUCAUGGGCUGCUAAGCACAGUGGCGGUUAAGUAAGUCACGGCCAAUUCUGCAAUCUUUUUUUUUUUUUUUUUGGCCAGGGAUGUGAAGCAAAUCACUUUGGUUGUUGUGAAAUGGGCAAUCAUUAAGUGCACCUGCUUUGCCUGUUCCUUGUUGGAAGCCAGCUGGGACGGUUGCAAAUGGUGAUCAACUGGACCCUGGGAUGGUGCAAGAGUCCUAAGUGCAAGGGCUGAUUGCGCUUUGGAAAAUACGGUUGUUCAGAUGCAUUGCCUGGUUUUCGUCCUAACUUAACGCUAAAGCAGAGGCGCAAAAUAUUAUGCGUGGCUGGAAGUUUUCUAAUGGAUAAUCAACCCAUCAGAUCUCCUGCAUGUUGGUGUGAAACUGGGAUGUUAUUCCUUUGUGCACCUCAGUCCACUUUUGCUGAUGAAUCUCAUUGGGCGCUGCUUUCCACGCUAACCAGUUUGGUGAGAUCUUUCGUCUCUUCCUAAAUAUAACUUUAAAACUUGGCUCUGACCUUAUUUGCAAAUAUUAAACAGCCUUGAUUCUACCACUAUAUACUAAUCUCAAACGGAGAAAGUUGUCCAAUUAAUCUCACCUUUAACCUGUAUUCUUUAAUAAGUGACUAAACUUAUCAGGAAGUUAUGCAACAAGAGCAACAAAAUUGUAGACAUAAGGACUUCUCAUUGAUAUGUGUGUCUGUGUAUGUGUGGGUGUGUGAUGAAACUUUAGGGAAGUCUCAGUAAAAGAUGACCGUAUCUCAUUGGAAUUAUCCACACAUAACCAUUUAUAAGCAACUUGCUCCUAAGUGGGAAGGAACAUCAAAUUUUCAAUUAACUAAGUAAUUGGAGUUUUAAAUUUGUCUCUUUAAAGUAGUAGCUAAUUUACUAGACUGGAAAUCUUCUCCUAAAAAGUAUUAGACUGGUCUGGAAUUUAGUAGGUUUCGAUGGUGCAAUUAUAUUAGGAUGUAUGUUGGGGCAUUAAAUCUUAAUUUAAUUGCCAUUUGGGAAUCAAAUAAAGCAUUAAUUUUUCAAGUGUUGAAUAAUAGUAUUUUCACAACACCUACCUAAAUUAUAUUGUUUAUAGCUAUAGGAAACCUCCCAAAAUUAAUCCCAUUUUACAGAUUAUGUUCCAGAUUUACAGUUUAUGUUCCUAACCAAUCCAUGGGGCACCCACUAAGUCAAUAAAGUUAGCUGAAAAACAGAAAUAUUUGAAUUUAUCUUUGGAAUAUGGUGAAGGUCAAAAUUCACUAGGAGAAGAUUCAACCCUUUCUCAAAUCUUACAUUUCGAUCCAGUUAGAGAGGAAAUUAAAUCUCUGAAUCUGGACUGAGCGUUUAUUAGAAAGACUUGAUUUUUAUACAAAGGGUAGGAUUGACUUCCAAGUAUUAUCAUCCUUCAUCUGAAAAGAAAAGCGGCUGCGGCAGAUUGCAACCAGAGAAUAUUAAAUGAAAACAGAGAAUGUGAUAAGGAGAAUAAAGGGGAAGUAGAUGAAAGCAUCCAGGUGAUAAAUGUUCCAGGGGAAUCCCAAGGCACAUUGAAACGCACCGCUCUUAAAGAUACAGAUGGUGGGCAAUCAGAGUUAAAGAGCAGUUUCCCAGCAAAGGGUGCAGAACCACAGGUGUGGACGGGUAAUUCCUUGGAUUUAUCCUGUCUGAAGCAGUUGGCACCAGCAACAUUCCAGGCACUGUUGACUAAAUAUUGAUAAAAAUAUAGAGCAUUUCUCCAGGAUAUACCUCCGCCCUCUGAAUCGACGGCUUUUCUGGAGACAAAAAAAAAAAGUGAUUUUCCACUAUUAGAGGAGGGC